AAUAUGGCGAAAGGUAGGGAACGCUGACGCAGCGACGCCGCGUGAGCUACGCAGGUUCUCGGAUCGUAAAGCUCUGUCCUUGGGGAAGAAGGCCUUCGGACUAGACGGUACUUAAGGAGAAAGCCUCGGCUAACUACGUGCCAGCAGCCGCGGUAAUACGUAGGGGGCAAGCGUUGUCCGGAAUUAUUGGGCGUAAAGGGUGCGUAGGCGGCCUUUUAAGUCAGGUGUGAAAGCCCACGGCUUAACCGUGGGAUUGCAUUUGAAACUGGAAGGCUUGAGUAUCGGAGAGGGUAGUGGAAUUCCCAGUGUAGCGGUGGAAUGCGUAGAUAUUGGGAGGAACACCAGUGGCGAAGGCGACUACCUGGACGAAAACUGACGCUGAGGCACGAAAGCUAGGGGAGCAAAC
rnacentral:rRNA from 1 species